rnacentral:rRNA from 1 species
GACGAACGCUGGCGGCGUGCUUAACACAUGCAAGUCGAACGGAAAGGCCCUGCUUUUGUGGGGUGCUCGAGUGGCGAACGGGUGAGUAACACGUGAGUAACCUGCCCUUGACUUUGGGAUAACUUCAGGAAACUGGGGCUAAUACCGGAUAGGAGCUCCUGCUGCAUGGUGGGGGUUGGAAAGUUUCGGCGGUUGGGGAUGGACUCGCGGCUUAUCAGCUUGUUGGUGGGGUAGUGGCUUACCAAGGCUUUGACGGGUAGCCCGCCUGAGAGGGUGACCGGCCACAUUGGGACUGAGGUAGGGCCCAGACGCCUACGUGAGGCAGCAGUGGGGAAUAUUGCACAAUGGGCGGAAGCCUGAUGCAGCAACGCCGCGUGCGGGAUGACGGCCUUCGGGUUGUAAACCGCUUUCGCCUGUGACGAAGCGUGAGUGACGGUAAUGGAUAAAGAAGCACCGGCUAACUACGUG